AGAAAGUUUUAUUUUCGUUUAAAAAUUCGAUUUAUGAUGAUUUUACAUGUGAAUUUUUUGUUCUUGAGGGAUUACCUUGCAGUAAAUAAUUUUAUUGAUUAAGUUUUCUUAGAAUUAGGUAUUUUUAAUAGUACUAACAAACCUUGUGCCAGCAGUUGCGGUUAUACAUGGAGUACAAUUGAAUUUUAGUCAGGAUGUAAUUAUCUUUUAUACGUUGUUUAAUUGGAGAUUUUUAAGGUGAAAUUUGGAGUUUUUGUCAAUGAGUGUUGAGGGAGAUUUUAUUAAAUUUUUUUUUAAACUAGGAUUAGAUACCCUAUUAUUUUGAAUGUAAAUGUGUUCCUGAAUAGUAUUAGAGUUCUUGAAAUUUAGAUUAUUUGGCGGUGUUUUAGUCUGUUCAGAGGAACCUGUCCUGUAAUUGAUAUUCCACAAUUGAUUGUACUUAAUUUUUAAGCUUGUAUAUCGUCGUUAUUUGAAUAUUUCGUGAGGAGAUAAUAUUCAGUUAUUAGGAUUGUAGUUUAAAUCAGAUCAAGAUGCAGCUUAUAGUUGAGGAGAGAUGGGUUACAUUGAAAUUAUUUUUGGAUUAUUUCAUGAGACGGGAAAUAUGAAAUUGGAUUUGAUAGUAAAUAUAAUGAGAUUAUUAUUUAGAUUUGAGCUCUAGAAUAUGCACAUAUCGCCCGUCGCUCCAAUUAUAAAAUUGGAUAAGUCGUAACAAAGUAGGUGUAUCGGAAGAUGUACCUAGAGUU
rnacentral:ncRNA from 1 species